CCUACGGGGUGCUGCAGUGGGGAAUAUUGGACAAUGGGCGAAAGCCUGAUCCAGCCAUGCCGCGUGUGUGAAGAAGGCCUUCGGGUUGUAAAGCACUUUCAGUGGGGAAGAAAGCCUUGGGGCUAAUACCCUCGAGGAAGGACAUCACCCACAGAAGAAGCACCGGCUAACUCCGUGCCAGCAGCCGCGGUAAUACGGAGGGUGCGAGCGUUAAUCGGAAUUACUGGGCGUAAAGCGCGCGUAGGCGGUCUGAUAAGCCGGUUGUGAAAGCCCCGGGCUCAACCUGGGAACGGCAUCCGGAACUGUCAGGCUAGAGUGCAGGAGAGGAAGGUAGAAUUCCCGGUGUAGCGGUGAAAUGCGUAGAGAUCGGGAGGAAUACCAGUGGUGAAGGCGGCCUUCUGGACUGACACUGACGCUGAGGUGCGAAAGCGUGGGUAGCAAACAGGAUUAAUACCCGGGUAGUC
rnacentral:rRNA from 1 species